rnacentral:rRNA from 1 species
GUCCGCGGGAAUUCGAUUCAGGCCUAACACAUGCAAGUUGAGCGGUAGCACAAGAGAGCUUGCUCUCUGGGUGACGAGCGGCGGACGGGUGAGUAAUGUCUGGGAAACUGCCUGUUGGAGGGGGAUAUCUGCUGGAAACGGUAGCUAAUUCCGCAUAACGUCUUCGGACCUAAGUGGGGGACCUUGGGGCCUCACGCCAUCAGAUGUGCCCAGAUGGGAUUAGCUAGUAGGUGGGGUAAUGGGUCACUUAGGCGACGAUCCCUAGCUGGUUUGAGAGGAUGACCAGCCACACUGGAAUUGAGACACGGUCCAGUCUCCUACGGGAGGCAGCAGUGGGGAAUAUUGCACAAUGGGCGCAAGCCUGAUGC